rnacentral:rRNA from 1 species
AAGGAAUUGACGGAAGGGCACCACAAGAACGCGUGGAGCAUGUGGCUUAAUUUGACUCAACGCGGGAAAUCUUACCGGGUCCGGACACACUGAGGAUUGACAGGUGUUUCGUGAGGUUUAUUGCAUACAUGUAUGUAAUAUAUCACUCACAUAUCAAAUAUGCUAGUCCUUUCAUGAUUGUGUGAUAGGUGGUGCAUGGCCGUUCUUAGUUCGUGGAGUGAUCUGUCUGCUUAAUUGCGUUUCACUUACGGUUAUUUUACGUUUCUAUUAAAUGUUUGUGACCUCAUUCACUUAUAGUGUUUGAUUGCGUCCACUUUAAUACGCGUAAUUUAAUAUAGAAGGCAACGAACGUGACCG